rnacentral:lncRNA from 1 species
AAAGAAAAGGAAAGGAAAAUAAAGAAAUUCGGCAGACAACUAUUUAACACAAGAUGCAAACAAAGUACUGAAAUUACUUUUUCAUUUAACAGAAGUACACGUUACAGGACCCGGUGGGUCAGGAAAAAAGAAGAUACACAUCAUCACCAGUAUCGCGAGCACGGUUCGGGCAGGACGAACCGGAGGUCGCUCCGAACUACGAACUCCGCCUCUAUCCUUCUCAGUCGCAUUCUCCAGCGCGUGUAACAGCUCUCACCCCGUCUUGCCUCAUUCUGUUCCCGAAGUCCCAACCUUAACGGGAAAAGGGUGGGGUAGAUCUCCAGAGGCGGCGAGGGCAACGACGGCAGUAGCGAAGACCUGUUUCAAGAAGAAUCGUAGCCACUUCGGGGGCAGUUGCGACACCAGAGAUAUGCCUCAUCCCCGAAUGCACCACGACGGCCGCCACCCGAGACGCUCCGGCA